rnacentral:rRNA from 1 species
AUUGAACGCUGGCGGCAUGCCUUACACAUGCAAGUCGAACGGUAACAGGUCUUCGGAUGCUGACGAGUGGCGAACGGGUGAGUAAUACAUCGGAACGUGCCCGAUCGUGGGGGAUAACGCAGCGAAAGCUGUGCUAAUACCGCAUACGAUCUACGGAUGAAAGCAGGGGACCGCAAGGCCUUGCGCGGACGGAGCGGCCGAUGGCAGAUUAGGUAGUUGGUGGGAUAAAAGCUUACCAAGCCGACGAUCUGUAGCUGGUCUGAGAGGACGACCAGCCACACUGGGACUGAGACACGGCCCAGACUCCUACGGGAGGCAGCAGUGGGGAAUUUUGGACAAUGGGGGAAACCCUGAUCCAGCCAUGCCGCGUGCAGGAUGAAGGCCUUCGGGUUGUAAACUGCUUUUGUACGGAACGAAAAGAUCUCUUCUAAUAAAGGGGAUCCAUGACGGUACCGUAAGAAUAAGCACCGGCUAACUACGUGCCAGCAGCCGCGGUAAUACGUAGGGUGCGAGCGUUAAUCGGAAUUACUGGGCGUAAAGCGUGCGCAGGCGGUUAUAUAAGACAGAUGUGAAAUCCCCGGGCUCAACCUGGGAACUGCAUUUGUGACUGUAUAGCUAGAGUACGGCAGAGGGGGAUGGAAUUCCGCGUGUAGCAGUGAAAUGCGUAGAUAUGCGGAGGAACACCGAUGGCGAAGGCAAUCCCCUGGGCCUGUACUGACGCUCAUGCACGAAAGCGUGGGGAGCAAACA